CCCUUAGAUGUUCUGGGCCGCACGCGCGCUACACUGAUGCAUUCAACGAGUCUAAAACCUGGUCUGAUAGGGCUGGGUAAUCUUUUGAAUGUGCAUCGUGAUUGGGAUAGAUGAUUGCAAUUCUUCAUCUUCAACGAGGAAUGCCUAGUAAACGCAAGUCAUCAGCUUGCAUUGAUUACGUCCCUGCCCUUUGUACACACCGCCCGUCGCUCCUACCGAUCGAAGAGUUAGGUGAAUUGUUUUGAUCGAUAAGAUUUGACUAUGGUCAACUCUCGUUGUGAAAUUCUGUGAAUCUGACUGUUUAGAGGAAGGAAAAGUCGUAACA
rnacentral:rRNA from 1 species